CGAGGCCCGUUUCUCUCUUUGGUUAUCUAGCUGUAUGAGUGUUAUUGAGCUAUCAUAAAGCUAGAUAACCGAAAGUAGAAAUGACUUUCA
ensembl:miRNA mdo-mir-9a-1 mdo-mir-9a-1